rnacentral:rRNA from 1 species
CGCCUUGCCAGCCCGCUCAGAAACUUAAAGGAAAGUUGACGGGGGCCCGGCACAAGCGGUGGAGCAUGUGGUUUAAUUCGAUGAUACGCGAGGAACCUUACCUGGGCUCAAAUGUAUGUUGACGUAUUCUGAAAGGGAUACUUCUUCGGACAAUAUACAAGGUGCUGCAUGGUUGUCGUCAGCUCGUGCCGUGAGGUGUCGGGUUAAGUCCCAUAACGAGCGCAACCCCUAUCAUUAGUUGCCAUCAGGUCAAGCUGGGGACUCUAAUGAAACUGCCUACGCAAGUAGUGAGGAAGGUGGGGAUGACGUCAAAUCAGCACGGCCCUUACGGCCUGGGCUACACACGUGCUACAAUGGUCGGUACAAAGGGUUGCCAAGCCGCGAGGUGGAGCUAAUCCCAUAAAACCGAUCGUAGUCCGGAUCGCAGUCUGCAACUCGACUGCGUGAAGUCGGAAUCGCUAGUAAUCGUGAAUCAGAAUGUCACGGUGAAUACGUUCCCGGGCCUU